rnacentral:misc_RNA from 1 species
AGCAGCCGCGGUAAUUCCAGCUCCAAUAGCGUAUAUUAAAGUUGUUGCAGUUAAAAAGCUCGUAGUUGAAUUUCGGAGUUCUACCGUCGGUCGGGCUACCAAGUCUGUACUGGUGUGUAGAAUUCCUACCUUCUGGGGAACUAUCAUGUUAUUAAUUUAGCGUGGUGGGAAACCAGGACCUUUACCUUGAAAAAAUUAGAGUGUUCAAAGCAGGCAUAUGUCUGAAUACAUUAGCAUGGAAUAAUAGAAUAGGACGGUGGUCCUGUUUUGUUGGUUUCUGAAUCACCGUAAUGAUUAAUAGGGAUAGUUGGGGGCAUUAGUAUUCAAUUGUCAGAGGUGAAAUUCUUGGAUUUAUUGAAGACUAACUUCCGCGAAAGCAUUUGCCAAGGAUGUUUUCAUUAAUCAAGAACGAAAGUUAGGGGAUCGAAGACGAUCAGAUACCGUCGUAGUCUUAACCAUAAACUAUGCCGACUAGGGAUCGGACGAUGUUAAAUUUCAUUGACUUCGUUCGGCGCCUUAA